GACGAACGCUGGCGGCGUGCUUAACACAUGCAAGUCGAACGGAAAGGCCCCUUCGGGGGUACUCGAGUGGCGAACGGGUGAGUAACACGUGAGUAACCUGCCCUUGACUUCGGGAUAACUUCAGGAAACUGGGGCUAAUACCGGAUAGGAAUCCUUGCUGCAUGGUGGGGGUUGGAAAGCUUCGGCGGGUUUGGAUGGACUCGCGGCUUAUCAGCUUGUUGGUGGGGUAGUGGCUUACCAAGGCUUUGACGGGUAGCCGGCCUGGGAGGGCGACCGGCCACAUUGGGACUGAGAUACGGCCCAGACUCCUACGGGAGGCAGGAGUGGGGAAUAUUGCACAAUGGGCGGAAGCCUGAUGCAGCAACGCCGCGUGCGGGAUGACGGCCUUCGGGUUGUAAACCGCUUUCAGCAGGGGCGAAGCUUGUGGUGACGGUACCUGCAGAAGAAGCACCGGCUAACUACGUG
rnacentral:rRNA from 1 species